UCGCUCUGUUUAUAAAGGGAAACAAGAGCUCUGUUGAUUCCGCAAACGAAGGCACGUGCGCACGAGGCGUCAGACUCGGGAAGUUGCUCGACGUGCGGAGAGAGGGAGAGAUCGUUGGGCCAAAAAUCCGGAUAAGAUUUUGUUCGAAUUUUUAAAGUAUUUUCGUUUUUCAAAUUUUAAAAAAUGAAAAAACAAAACACAAAAGCUUGGUUUAGUCCAACAAAUUGUUAAUCUGAACUUGGUCCAAAAAGAAUCUUAUUGGGCCGGAGGCCCUCCACCAAGACCCGAGACCCAAGCCCACGCCGAGCUGGCCGGACGAGGGUGGCACAUGGGAAACCCUUCUCCUCUCUCAAACUGUUUAACCCAUGAAGUCAUGGGAUCAUAUAUAAACAGUUCUAACCUUCUUCUCUCGAUUGAUGCGGGACUUUCCCCACUUCACCAUUUCAUUUAUUUGACAUUUCUUUUGGGCUCCUACUCGUAUCAUUUGUUAUUCACAUUUUAAUAAAGCUCAUUGACUUUAUUGUUCCAACAAUAAGUUGGAUACACUUCAAAAGCACAUGUAAUGCUCCAAGCCCCCAAGGCCCGGUUAGAGUCGCUUUCCAUUUUGUGGCAGAUUUUAAAAUGAAAGAUUUGUAUCUUGACCUAUGUGGCAUUUAAUCAAAUGAAAGUAUUAUUUCCUGAGUUAUCACCUGGCUUAUAACAAGCUUCUGCUAUGGACAAGAAGAAACAACAGCUGAUGCAGAUAGCGAUUCAGUUUAUUCAAAUCAGCUUGCUGAACCUCUGUUUAUGAAUCCGGAAAAGUUAACUACAAAAAAGCUCUAGAACUGCUCGGUCCAGACUUUGACGCUGCUGACUACAAGGUUACUGGAGCAUCGUAUUUACGAUUGAUGUUUUUAAUGAAAUUUGGUACAAAUUAUUGUUACUCACCGGCCAAUCAUCCACUGGUACACUCCCAAAAACACUCUUAUUCAGUUUUUUUUUAGCCAACUCUUGUGGCGUUUACUGGUGUUCUUUAAGUCAGAUA